UGAAGUAGAAUUUAUUACAAGUCCAGCACCUCCUUCAGAAAUUGGGUACUUUUGGCAUCGUUUCCUUUGAUCACUCUCCAAUGGGCUUCCACCCUCUGAUACAUAUGAUGAUUCAUUUUUGCUCUCCGAUCCAUCAUUCCUGCGGAUACCAUCAGAAAACCAAGUUACAGGAGCAUCUUCACCAGCUACACGGGCUGGAUGAUCCCACCGGAAACUCCAUGACGGAGAACAGCGAAUGUUCCGAUGUAAGACAUCAUAGGUAGAUCCACUUUGUACAGUUUUCAAUUAUCUUUUGGGAGCUCCAAGAAGACUUCUCAGUUAAAAGUUUUGAGCAAACACCACAUGUUUGGAAAUCAACCGGAGAUGUUGAAAACCGAUUACUUGAUCUAUGUAACCUUUCAGGGUUAAAACCAAAUGAUUCACUAUCAAACGACCAUCUUUCUCUACGAGAAGUUCCCAUCAGCUCAGAAAAGCCAGGCACAGACCAACCAUCUGAAGAUCCAUCACGGGAGUGCAUACCCAAUUCAUUGUUCCAUGAGGGAAAUACUGGCUUUUCUUCAGACACGUAGAAGCUGCUUGGUGACUUGCAUCCUGGGACUCGGCUGUUAGAAACUUGCCAUAAUAGUUGGUGUCCUGGGGACUGGUAGGGCGACCUUGAUGGGGUUGAGCUGGAGGGUGCAAGAUGACUUUGCGAUGGCAGAGGAGACGCCGACAGCGAAGUAGAAGGUAAUGAUGAUGGCGGCUUUGUCGGAGAUGUACCUGACACUGUUGAUGAUUCUUCCAACCCCUUCACCUAUAAAGUGAUUCAUAAAUAGGAAGUUUGUCAAAUAAACCACACAUAAAGAACAAGCAAAAACAUAAAACAUUAACAGAUUCCUUCACUGCUAUAACCUCACCUGUUCCACGUUCACAUCCAUGGAGACAUUCGUAGAAAUAGAUUGAUCUGAAACAAACAUGUCAGAUACUAUAAAUCAAGCAGUUGAGUCAAUAAUAAUUACCACUGGAUCAAUAACAUGAGCAGUUUACAUAUUGUUAACAGCAGGAUCAAUGUCAUGCAUGGACACACAGGAUGCAUAUAUGCAGAAACAAAUCAUAUGAACUUCACAAUAUAUAGUCAUUGCUUAGCCCUCAUGCAAGGAAAACAUAAGUUGCAAAUGUCAACAAAAAAUAAUUUUCAUCCAGGGAUUUCCAUUGUUAAUCGAUCUGUAAUGUCACUAUAAAAUCUUGCAAACUUCUAGUUAACCCAAAAAAAAAAAUUCAGACCAUCAUCAUCCAUGAUUUUUUUUAUAAGGGAAACUUCCAUGACCAUAGCUUACAAUAUUUUCUUUUUCAUUUACAUAACCACAUACUGGACUGUGAUGAACCAUUCCUCACUAAAAAAUACAACCAUCUCUAUAUCAAAUUAUCAAAUGCCAACAGUGAGGAAAAAGUUUCAAUAAUCUAUUCAAACGAAGAGGCAAACCUUUCUAUCCCACUUGACUUGAAACAGACUGUCAAUAUACACUCUGAUAGAAUUUUAUACUCAAGGUCAAGAGUCAAGAUAACAAGCACUAGGGCUCAAGGCCAGUUAUUGCUUUGUACUGCAAUGAAUAAUCAAUAAAGGGGGCAGUGCAACUUAUACAGAAAUUAGAAAAUUGUGGGCACUGUUAACUUAAGAUGAGUCCCAUUACAUGUUCUACUAACAUGCAUUAUGCUACACUAUGCAGAGAGUAGAUACAGGAAGGAACAUCAAAACACCUAUAGAAUAUUGAACAUCUCUGCAUGGUAAUAUAUGACUAAGCUCUAAGUACCAUGUUCUCCCUGCUUUUCUCUUGUUUCACCCAUUUUAAGAUAUAAAAUGCAGAUAAAGGAAUUUUUAUGUCUUUUUUGGAUAAGCAUCCAGAAGAAAUGGGAAUAAAAUAUUUGUAAAAACCCAGAUAACUUAUCAGAAUUCAGACAUGCUGAUGUACUGAUGGUCUACUUUUUCCUAAACCACAAAAUGAUUACAAAUAAAGAGCCGCCUUCAAAUUUUAGGCCAGAUAAGCCCUCUUGAUUAGUGUUUAGGCCAGAUAAGCCCUCCUAAUUAGAGUUUGUCUACCACAUUAUCAUCUAUCUUUCUCCAGAUUGGCUAGUACAUUAAUGUCAUAAAAAGUAAUCUGUUCCAUUUAUGGAUUCAUUAUUCUUCUUUGUUACUAAUUUUAAAAUUUUCUGUGUCUGAAAGCCCUAAUGAAAAAACAUGAGAAGACAUCAUGUUUCCAGAUUUCAUGUAGCACAGUGAAUAUAUUUAUAUCUUCCACACAGACUUGCGAUUAUAUGUUUCACUCUGAGUAGUAGAUGGUGGUGCUAUUGACCGCUAUAGCAGAAUUGUGACAUGGAUUACAUUCUCUCCACUAUGAUUCACAUGGAGGGGGCAUCACAGUCGCAUUUGCGGCCAGAGUCGCAGCCCAUAGCAGCCUGUAGCCGCUGAUGGCUGUGACAGUGAAGAGGUGUUAGGGUCAUUCUUUCCUGAUGACGGCAGUCUUCUUUUCUGAUACAAUCAGGGUUUUAACAUUUCACAUUUCUGUUUCCCUUGCCUUUUUUACAACUUUACUCUCACAUAUCAAUAUUAGAUUUUAACCCUUUAACUCAGUAAAUCUCUAUUUUGCUCUCUUCUAUCUUUUUAAAUGUCCUACCCUCAUUUAAACUUGAUAAAACUCUAUUUUACCCUUACUAUCACUCUUCCCCAAGACCAGCUUUUUCACUCUAUCUUCUUCUACUUCCUCUGUUUUCUCUCACUUCUUUUGCUUCAUUCUUCUACUUCCUCCUCGCCAAAACCCAUUGCAGAGACCAACUCUGUUCUGGGUCCUUCUUCAUCACACCAGGGCUAGUCAAAGUCUCCAAGACACUGCGUUCUUCUUCUACAAUGAGUGGCAUUUAGGUCAUAAUUGCCACCCCAAACGUCUCAAUAGUGACCAUCCCGCUAGUGUCGGCUGCUCCGCUCCACUAUUAAUGAUUGACUACUUAGAUUUCAUUCUAUUUAACACUAGGCUUCCCACUUAUCUCAUAUCAGAUGGUAAAUAGUACAAGAAUGAAGUGAAUAACAAAUAUCCACAACAACCAAGUCUUAAUCCUACUAAAUGAGGUCGGCUUUAUGAAUUGAACGACGUUAUAAUGCUCUAUCAUAAGUAUUCCAACCCAAGUAAGAACAUGGUUAAAACCAUUGAAAGUUACCUGAAGUAGAAUUUAUUACAAGUCCAGCACCUCCUUCAGAAAUUGGGUACUUUUGGCAUCGUUUCCUUUGAUCACUCUCCAAUGGGCUUCCACCCUCUGAUACAUAUGAUGAUUCAUUUUUGCUCUCCGAUCCAUCAUUCCUGCGGAUACCAUCAGAAAACCAAGUUACAGGAGCAUCUUCACCAGCUACACGGGCUGGAUGAUCCCACCGGAAACUCCAUGACGGAGAACAGCGAAUGUUCCGAUGUAAGACAUCAUAGGUAGAUCCACUUUGUACAGUUUUAUCUUUGGCUGCAACACAACAAGCAGCACCCAUUCCGAGAUAGACAACAGUAUUUAGCUUUUUAUAGUAACGCAACC
rnacentral:lncRNA from 1 species